GUGAGGAAUAUUGGACAAUGGGCGCAAGCCUGAUCCAGCCAUGCCGCGUGCAGGAAGACGCAUCUAUGGUGUGUAAACUGCUUUUGUGCGGGCAGAAACACUCCCUCGUGAGGGAGCUUGACGGUACCGUAAGAAUAAGGAUCGACUAACUCCGUGCCAGCAGCCGCGGUAAUACGGAGGAUCCAAGCGUUAUCCGGAAUCAUUGGGUUUAAAGGGUCCGUAGGCGGUUUAAUAAGUCAGUGGUGAAAGCCCAUCGCUCAACGAUGGAACGGCCAUUGAUACUGUUAGACUUGAAUUACAAGGAAGUAACUAGAAUAUGUAGUGUAGCGGUGAAAUGCUUAGAUAUUACAUGGAAUACCAAUUGCGAAGGCAGGUUACUACUUGUGGAUUGACGCUGAUGGACGAAAGCGUGGGGAGCGAACAGGAUUAGAUACCCGAGUAGUCC
rnacentral:rRNA from 1 species